UCCGGUGACCGGCCGGCGACCCUCCGGCGACCACCAAGACCACCAGAAACGGCGGCAAGAGAGGGAGAGGAGAGAGAAAACGCGCGCACAGUGGGCAGCGGCUUUCCGGUGCGAUUCUGGCUUCGUCCGACGUCCGAUCGAGGCGAUUCCGGUGGCGUUGGAAAGCUUGUUCCGAGAGCUUUCUUUUGACACCAAUUUUGAAGCAAAUGGAGGUCGGAUGAGUGAGAUAUGGAGGAGAGAAGUUUCGGAUUUUUCAAGCUUUUUCGUCAGAUCUACGACGAUCCGACUGUUGGAUCGACGAUCCGAGACCACAUAUGGACUGAGGAAGAUGAGAGGAACAUGGUGGUAUGAUCAGAUCCGGCAAAUGUCGCCGGUGACCGGCGGCCGGCCACCGUGCGCGGUGGUGCCGGCGGUGGCCCGGUGAGCUAUGGAGAUGGUUCAACUUCCAGAGGCUUCCUCAUAAAUUUUUGGAAUUUUUGAGACACAGAUAAACUUCGGGUGAUCGAGAUCAACUAUUUUCCUGCAUCCAGCAGCCACAAUAGUCGACGGUGUACUGCCACAGGAGGAGUUAUUUUACAGAGCAACCUGUUUUCUUCCUCGCAGGUUUAACGUCAAUUAUUUAAUUAUUUUACUAUCUUUUCUAAAUUAAAAAUCUAGAACUCCGCAUGUGUUAGAAAUAGUGUGGACCUUGGUAGAGGUUGUGUGAACUUAAAUUUUUAAGAUUAAUAAAUGAAGAUUUGUAUGGUAUUUAAACAGUUUGUAAAUGAGGUAACAGGGUUGAGCUGGGCUCCCCUGAUUUUAGUUUCUGAAAAUUUCUGGGCUAAGUUGGCUCGAAAUGAAAUUAUAACAGUUUGAUUUAAAUUAUUUUAUAUGCAUAUUGGGCCUAAAUUGUGGGCCUGGUUAUGGAUUUGAGGAAUAGUUAGGCUUACUACGGGCCUCGGGGGCUUUAAGCUGGCCCAGGUCCUAGUGCCGGUCCGGCCCAUAGGUUGGGUCGUGACAAAUGUGGUAUCAGAGCUUAGGCUCUAGAUUCAUGGGAAAGAAUAUAAUUGGGAGUGUAAAAAAGAGUCUUGUUAGGAUGUUACAUGCGGAGCAUAGGAUUCUGUUUUGUCUUUUCUGUAAUUCUUUGUUUCUAGAUUCUGCGUUAUACCUCGGGAAAUAUAAAAGUACCUCAGUUAGUGUCUUGAUUUUCGUGGAGUACAUAGAAAUGUGAAAUAGAGUUAGCAGACAUGUUGAGGUCUAUCAUGAAGAUACGUACUCCAAGAAAUGCUAUGUUUCUGUCUGUAUGGGUUUAAAUGGUGUGCCUAUUUCGUGCAAGGCACGAGUACAUAAAGGUGAGUCUUGAAAGUACAGUUGCCCUAGAUAAAGAUGAGGAUACCACUGCUGGCAGUCAUCAGUGGGUGACCCAGUCAGAAUAAGUUUAUGAUAAUAGAAGAUUCAAGAGAGAUAAGAAAUUAGGAGACCUAGUCGGUCAGGACGUAUCGUAGUAACUAUACAAUGUUCUCGAUGUCUGCUCUGUAAGCUGCAGAUUACAGUACCGACAUGAGAUUAUUGUGUAGAGCUACGUACUUCCCUGUAGUGCUUAUGAUGAGGAUG